ensembl:snoRNA Gm24728 predicted gene, 24728
UUACCAGAAACUGAUUUGUGGGAAUUAUUACCUUUACCAACUCAGGCAGUUUGACAAAAAAGUAAGACCACAGUCCAGAGUGGGCUGUUUCGCUUAGUGUGGUUCAUGACUAUCUUGGAACCUACACU